CGCUCCCCCAUCCCCUCUCUGUUUUCAGCACCUGUCUCCAAUCAGCCUCAUCACCAUCGAUAUAUAAGCCUGCCUGUUCCAGGAAAUCCUCGUCAAAGUAUUGCAGUUACUUCCAGCGCUACUACGGCCCAUUUACCUCACUGUUUUCCGCCCGUGUUCCUGAUCCACGUCAUUCCUGCCACCUGUCCACGCCAUCGCCUGCCAACCCACCUAGGACCGCCACCAUUUCCUUUCCUCAAUAAACUGUUCAUCUUUUUACACCUGCCUCCGCCUGCUCUUGGAUCCAGCUACUCCCCAUAUGUGACAAAGGAAUUCAAGAGAGUUCGUCGACCUAGCUGCAGACAGAAGAGGAAAACAAAAACAAAAUAAAAG